CAGGGCUAAUAAAAAUGCCUCUUUUAACAAGCAAACUAUCCUACAAGGAUUAAAUCCAUGAUGUACAAUGAAGGAUGGAUUGGUUUAACCAAUUUGGCUGGGAAGACUAGGAAAUACAGGUGUUCUGAUGGUGGAAAAGAAAGAAUAUGAAUCUUUGCACACUGUCUGGAAAAGCAGGUCUGCUUGGGUGUGAACCUCCAUGAGAACACUUGCAGUGGGGUGGGACCAAGACCCCAAGAUAUGUUUUGACCAAGACCCCACUUGCACAGGUUAUAUACAAAUACUACACCAUUUUUAUAAGGGAUGUGAGCAUCUGUGAACUUUGGCAUUCAAGGAAGAGUCUUGGAACCAGUCCCUCAGGAUACCAAGGGAUGACUGUAUAGCUAGCAUUUAGAGGUCAGUAGGUCCUUCUCCUAAAACAGGCUAUGUAAUCAUUCAUGCAGACUCCUUUACCAACUUGUAUGUUCACUUCAGCAAGUCAACCAAAUUCAAUUCAGUGUUCACUUUGAUAGAGCUUUUUCUUCAUCUGCAAAAUGAAGGUCCAGUACUUCUUGAUCUCCAAGGCUUCUUGAAGCUCUACAGCAGUGAAGGCAGUGAGGGGCUGUGGUGUGAUCCAGGAGGCUGAGAAUUAUGCAGUGGGUGCUGUCACCUUGAAGACAUCAGCGUGAUCAGGCAGAUCAUCAUGGUACUGCAUUUCCUGGACACGAUCUUAAUUUUCUUAAUACCUCCACCGACAUUUCAAAUAGCGUC
ensembl:lncRNA ARHGEF26-AS1 ARHGEF26 antisense RNA 1